UUCUAUAAGAGAGGACAAAAAACUAUACUGUUAUUCAAUAAGCAUGGGCCAACAAAUUUACUUUUAUCACCCAUGCUUAAGACAUCAUAAGCAUAUGCUAUUAUGACUAUUGACUUGCUUUUAAAAAAAAAAGGUUAUAUCACCUUUUAUGAUGAAAUUACUGCAUCUCCCAACAUAUUUCAGAGGAAUCACACAAUAUUCAAAUCAGUAAAAUAGUAAGCUUAUGGCAUCUAAAGGUUGAAAUAAAUUUACAGUAAGAAUUUUCUAUUAGCACGCGAAAUCAGAAAAGAGACGCAUUAAUAAGUAUCAUAAGACAUUUUUAUACAAAUAUAUAGGCAAGCAAAACAGUGGUUAGACCUGAAUGAAAAAAUUCCUAACGUAAUGAUAUAUAAGCACAAAUUAACAUCAUUAAUUUAUGAAAGCGUACAAAUUUAUAUUGCAAGUAAAGGGAACAAGAGAGAAGACUUAACCCAAUUUCCUUUAUCUUAAUCUCUAAUUUAUGAUAUAUGAGUCAUGACUUGACAAAAAUAAGAAACCUAAAGUUCAAACCUGGUAUUUUAAAAAUAUUUAGGCAAAUGACCUUAGAAUUACUCAGUUAAUUUAACAAG
rnacentral:lncRNA from 1 species